GACGAACGCUGGCGGCGUGCCUAAUACAUGCAAGUAGAACGCACAGUUUAUACCGUAGCUUGCUACACCAUAGACUGUGAGUUGCGAACGGGUGAGUAACGCGUAGGUAACCUGCCUGGUAGCGGGGGAUAACUAUUGGAAACGAUAGCUAAUACCGCAUAAUAUUAAUUAUUGCAUGAUAAUUAAUUGAAAGGUGCAAUUGCACCACUACCAGAUGGACCUGCGUUGUAUUAGCUAGUAGGUGAGGUAACGGCUCACCUAGGCGACGAUACAUAGCCGACCUGAGAGGGUGGUCGGCCACACUGGGACUGAGACACGGCCCAGACUCCUACGGGAGGCAGCAGUAGGGAAUCUUCGGCAAUGGACGAAAGUCUGACCGAGCAACGCCGCGUGAGUGAAGAAGGGUUUCGGAUCGUAAAGCUCUGUUGUAAGAGAAGAACGGGUGUGAGAGUGGAAAGUUCACACUGUGACGGUAUCUUACCAGAAAGGGACGGCUAACUACGUG
rnacentral:rRNA from 1 species